GCUUGUCCUGCUACAUCUACUGUGUAUCCUCUACAUCUACUGUGUUACUCUCUACAUCUACUGUGUAUCCUCUACAUUCUACUGUGUACCUCUACAUCUUCUGCCGUGAUCCUCUUAGUAUCUACUGUGUAUCCUCUACAUCUACUGUAUGUUCUCUACACUACGUAUGUGUCUCUCUACUCUACUCAGCGUGUCUCUACAUCUACUGUGUAUCCUUCUCAUCUACUGUGUACUCCUAAUCUACUUGCGUAUCCUGCUAUAUCUACUGUUGUAUUCCCUCUACAUCUACUGUAUGUUCUCUACAUCUACUAUGGUCCUCUACCAUCUACAGCAUGUCCUCUACAUCUACUGUGUACCUCUACAUCUACUGGUACUCUCUACGCAGAUGCUACUGGUGUAUCCUGCUACAUCUACUGCGUAUCCUCUAUAUCUACUUGUGGUAUCCUUCUACAUUCUACUGUAUGUUCGUCGUACAUCUACUGUGUAUCCUCUACAUCUACUGCGUAUCCUCUACAUCUACUGUGUAUCCUCUUACAUUUACUGUGUACUCUACUACACAUUCUACUGUGUAUUCCCUCCAUCUACUGUGUGUUCUCUACAAUAUUGGCAUCAACGCAAUACAUGGUACUGAAAUCCCCCAUAUAGACAUUAAGCAGAGGGUGAAGGAAGGGGAUGGAGGGCUGUGCAGGAACAAAUAGUAACAAGGACUCAUGACUCGUGUAUAUGAAAAUGUCAUAAUGAACACCCAUUUUCUGUACUUAAAGUGAGUAAUAAAAC
rnacentral:lncRNA from 1 species